UUGCCAACCUAGCCCAGACCUAGUCCCGAAAUAAGAAGCGAAACAAAAACUUAUUUUAUUAAAGAGAAGGGCCUUGUCUCCAUUUCUUUUAGAAAUUGAAAUGUAGUAAGAGAUAUUGUUGCCAAAUUGGCUUGCUUAUCUUCCUUUGGUGCAUUUCUUCUCUAAUUGGAAGAUUCAUUCUCAUGGUACAUGAGUGCUGUUUGUCCUUCAUUUCUCGGAUGACUGUCUCUUUCACUGGCAUUAGAAACUAAUAUUAAUUCCUCCACUAUUUUCUUGGCCAGGAGAAGAAGUUGGAGUGAGGAGAAGGCUUAGCUCAGAAGCGGGAAGCUGAAGCAAGGGAGCUUGAGUUAGAAUCGGAAAAAGACAAACCAUUUGUGCAGACGAGGUUGUCCUACUAGCUAGAUGCUUUUAGUCGUGGUCCAUGCAAUGCAGGACCAUAUUAGGUGGAUGGUCCCAAUCCAGGGUCUCCCUUCUACAUUUACAGAGGUGCAAUCAACUGCCAUUCGUAGGCAAUUUUAUAGAGGUACACUUGUCUCUACCAGCUCAUCUAACAAGUAGUAGACAUCCACUAGUACUUUCAAUAUUCUGAACCAGGUGGUUAUUUUCGAGGUUGAGCACCCUGUAAUUGAGAUAAUUGUUGGCCAACACCUUUUAGAGUGGCAGUUCCGUGUAGCAAAUGGAGAACCUCUUCCCUUGAUUCAGUUACAAGGGCCUUUAUAAGGUAAUUGUUAUCAAAGAAGCAGUACUUGACAUCAGACAUGAGCUAGAAAAGUAUGUUGCAUGAUAUGUUAAUUUGAAUCAAUUAACCAUUCCUCACUAGAAUUGUUCGGAAUUCCACAUCAACUUUUAUUUCACUUUUCUCAGAUAUGACUUGGCUUCUAGCAUUGUCAAUCCUAAUUUUACUUACUUUUACCUUUUUUGGUGCCUACUUUUCUUGCACAUGGUUGCAAGUUUCAUCAUUCUUGAAUAUGAAGCAAUUACAAGUAAACAAGAUAUCAGAAUCAUCAAAGAAUGCAUGAAAUGAUCCCAAUUUUCAGAAAUUUACUAAAAACCAAUCUUGUUUCAUUUUUAGCAUUAACUCCAUUCGGAAUUAUCGCAACACAACAGGUUGGGCCUUUGUCAGUGUCAUUUUAUACAAGUGUUGAGAGUUCCAACUCCAUAGAAGCAGAAACUUGUACUUGAGACACCUACCCAUUUCAUGAAAAUGUGUUUUUUUUUUUUUUUUUUUUUUUCUUUCAGCUCACAUCAUCCAGAUAAUUAUUCUACUUGACUGUUGUGGGCAUAACAUCAUUGAGGUGUAUUCAAUUCAGCAAUCAACAAAGCAGUUGCCUGGUGUUGUUGGGUUCAAGUUGUCUGGAAAAUUGAACACAAUGGUGUUACGCUACCGACUUAGUUUUAAAUGUGACGCAAAUGUUGAGGAAGCAUGGGGUUGUUGGCAAGUUUGUUGAGUUUUAUUUGGGGGCAUGGGUGAAUUAUCAUUGGUUGAUAGGGCUACUAUUGCUAAUAUGUCUCCUGAAUAUGGAGCAACCAUGGGUUUCUUU